rnacentral:lncRNA from 1 species
ACAUGGGUCCUAUCUUUGCUACCUCUUGUCCCUCUGUACUAUGACAUCUUACUUCUGUUCUGUGAUCAUGCUAUGUGAUACUGGUGCAGUGAGCCAAGCAACACAUAGGGCUUCCACCUCCUAGUCUUCCCCAAACAGCCAAGACUGUUUAAAGGCCAAGUAUUUAAAUGCUAGAGACUUAUGGGAGACAGCUCACUGAGGCCACAGCAUGGCUGGUCUGGAGCUCACUCUGUAGCUAAAGAUGACCAGAUCCUCCUAUGGUUUGAGUUCUGGGAUGACAGCUAUUCAGCACCACACCCAGGUUUUCACCUAUCCUGGGGCCUGGGAAGGGCAUGGGCAGGUGAGGGGCCCUGAAGAACAGGGUAGCUGGUUUGCUGUAGUGGAAAGGGUCUCAACCCCAACAAAUCUCAAGUUCCACACUGGCUCUAUCCAGGAAACUAUCCCAGACAGCACUACAAAAAAAAGUCAACAGGUAUUACCUGCCUCAGAUAAUUACUGUGCAAUGCUUACAUGGCCUUGUGUGACUAAACCAUUGCCUCACUAAUCUGUGAAACAGGGAAAACAGAGUCUGGCUAUGUCAAGUCUAGAGGAAGCUUGCUCUUGUGGCAGCAACCAAGGAAAGAAAAGCAAUACAUGCUUGCCAGGAGUCACCAUGUCUUACAGAGCAGUUUUGAGGAAAUCAGAUGAGUCAGGUUGUGUGGCCCAGCCCAGAAAACCCCCUUCAGGCCACUUCAUGCUAUUCCAAGUUUGCAGCACGAAGAAGGCUGGUGAGAAGUAACUGGAUAACAAAUCUCCUGGGGCCCUCGAUCUAGAAAACAGCAUGUCUGGCUCUGCCUCUCUUUCCCUCACUGCUGUCCCCAUCAGCCAGCCCUGGGGCCCAUGCUUUGCCUCUUGCCCUGUGCAGCUGCUGACAGCAGCUUAGCUGCACACAUGUUCAAAGCUCUUUUCUGCUCUCCUAUCAGACUCCAGUGUUGUACAGGUCCCACCCUCCGGCUCCCCAACAACCCCUUGCUUUGCCAGACAGGUCGACAUGGUGGAAGCUGCAAAGGUUCACCAGGAACUUAAGGAACUAUAUAAAGUUCAGCUCCUAAAAUCUAAACUCUUUCAUAUGUGCCACUUUAAUAAAGUAACAAAAGUAGG